rnacentral:rRNA from 1 species
CAUGCAAGUCGAGCGGGGAAAGGUAGCUUGCUACUGGACCUAGCGGCGGACGGGUGAGUAAUGCUUAGGAAUCUGCCUAUUAGUGGGGGACAACAUUCCGAAAGGAAUGCUAAUACCGCAUACGUCCUACGGGAGAAAGCAGGGGACCUUCGGGCCUUGCGCUAAUAGAUGAGCCUAAGUCGGAUUAGCUAGUUGGUGGGGUAAAGGCCUACCAAGGCGACGAUCUGUAGCGGGUCUGAGAGGAUGAUCCGCCACACUGGGACUGAGACACGGCCCAGACUCCUACGGGAGGCAGCAGUGGGGAAUAUUGGACAAUGGGGGGAACCCUGAUCCAGCCAUGCCGCGUGUGUGAAGAAGGCCUUAUGGUUGUAAAGCACUUUAAGCGAGGAGGAGGCUACUAGUAUUAAUACUACUGGAUAGUGGACGUUACUCGCAGAAUAAGCACCGGCUAACUCUGUGCCAGCAGCCGCGGUAAUACAGAGGGUGCGAGCGUUAAUCGGAUUUACUGGGCGUAAAGCGUGCGUAGGCGGCCAUUUAAGUCAAAUGUGAAAUCCCCGAGCUUAACUUGGGAAUUGCAUUCGAUACUGGAUGGCUAGAGUAUGGGAGAGGAUGGUAGAAUUCCAGGUGUAGCGGUGAAAUGCGUAGAGAUCUGGAGGAAUACCGAUGGCGAAGGCAGCCAUCUGGCCUAAUACUGACGCUGAGGUACGAAAGCAUGGGGAGCAAACAGGAUUAGAUACCCUGGUAGUCCAUGCCGUAAACGAUGUCUACUAGCCGUUGGGG